UGGCGAACGGGUGAGUAAUACAUCGGAACAUGUCCUGUAGUGGGGGAUAGCCCGGCGAAAGCCGGAUUAAUACCGCAUACGAUCUACGGAUGAAAGCGGGGGACCUUCGGGCCUCGCGCUAUAGGGUUGGCCGAUGGCUGAUUAGCUAGUUGGUGGGGUAAAGGCCUACCAAGGCGACGAUCAGUAGCUGGUCUGAGAGGACGACCAGCCACACUGGGACUGAGACACGGCCCAG
rnacentral:rRNA from 2 species